AAUAUACAACAUUUUUUUUUUUUCCCCACAGCUCACUGUUCAAAACGCAGCUAGGGUGCUAUGUUGCAUCCACAUUCCUCUUCCUAUGCUUGAAGUUCUCAACAAGAGCAACACUACCAUUCCUCCUGUUGCAAUCAGAUGCCUCUCUUGAUAUGAUUUAACAAACGUAUUGCAUUGUAAAUGAAGCCAUAAACAACACACUCUAUAAAAUUAUGAGAUUUGUUGUUAGAACACGUCUCAAGAGUUUCUAUGGGAGAUUAAAAAGUGUAUUCGACUCUAUAAAUAUGGAGCACCAAAUUAUAAGAGACCUCAGAACAAACAAACCAUGCCAACACCUUGACUUUGGACUUCUAAAUCUCCCAAAUG